AAAGCCUGACGGAGCAAGACCGCGUGCGGGAAGACGGCCUGUGGGUUGUAAACCGCUUUUGACAGGGAAGAAUAUGUGACGGUACCUGUCGAAUCAGCCUCGGCUAACUCCGUGCCAGCAGCCGCGGUAAUACGGAGGAGGCAAGCGUUAUCCGGAAUUAUUGGGCGUAAAGCGUCCGCAGGUGGUUUAUCAAGUCAGCUGUUAAAGCGUGGGGCUUAACUCCAUAAAGGCAGUUGAAACUGAUAGGCUAGAGUGCGAUAGGGGCAAGGGGAAUUCCCAGUGUAGCGGUGAAAUGCGUAGAUAUUGGGAAGAACACCGGUGGCGAAAG
rnacentral:rRNA from 1 species